GACGAACGCUGGCGGCGUGCUUAACACAUGCAAGUCGAACGGAAAUGCCCUUCUUUUGUGGGGUGCUCGAGUGGCGAACGGGUUAGUAACACGUGAGUAACCUGCCCUUGACUUUGGGAUAACUUCAGGAAACUGGGGCUAAUACCGGAUAGGAGCUCCUGCUGCAUGGUGGGGGUUGGAAAGUUUCGGCGGUUGGGGAUGGACUCGCGGCUUAUCAGCUUGUUGGUGGGGUAGUGGCUUACCAAGGCUUUGACGGGUAGCCGGCCUGAGAGGGUGACCGGCCACAUUGGGAAUGAGAUACGGCCCAGACUCCUACGGGAGGCAGCAGGGGGGAAUAAUGCAAAAUGGGCGGAAGCCUGAUGCAGGAACGCCGCGUGCGGGAUGACGGCCUUCGGGUUGUAAACCGCUUUCGCCUGGGAAGAAGCGUGAGUGACGGUAAUGGGUAAAGAAGCACAGGCUAACUAAGUG
rnacentral:rRNA from 1 species